UUAAUUUUUUAACAUAAUUACAGAAUUUUUAAUGGGAGGAAAAUUGAGGGGAGGGUUUUAGGAUUUGUGUGACAGUUCAACAGCGCAAUCUCCGUAAAGGGCAGUCAGACGGCUGGGGGCAAAACAAUUCGUAGAACUGGUUCUCGUAAGAGCUCGCAAGGGGGUGUCAAAUACGGACAUUGUGCCCCCCCCCCCCCCGGAAUAUAGCGUUUACUGAUGAUGUUGGUGUCUUUGAAGUGUUUCUGCUGCCUCUCCAGCUUCUAGACAAGAUCAAUCUCUGACAGUGCAACAACCUGUCCAGCAUUUGACAAAGAUGCGAAGUGAACGAGAGCCAGACUUCGUUGGGAAAUGUCCGGACCGCAGCUCUUCACGUGAGACACACCCAGAUUAGGGAUAACAUCUCCCAGCUGUUCAGACCAGAGAUGGAUCAAGAGCUCAACCUCUGCCACUAUUUCGGCAGAGAACAGACAGUGGACUUUACUCCAGGGAUGUAUGAGGAUACAGGCGAGACUGGCAACUACAGACAGCUCCAGGCUGGACCUGUCUGUCCCCUCUCUCCUCUCUCCUCAUCUAUCUGACCCCACCACAGCUUGUAGCCAACGACGACGAUGACACCUGUCAAGUCGUGUCCUGUUGUUUUCAUAAGUAGGGAUCGAACAGAACAUAUGUCAGCUCGUUGGUGGAAUCAUCCCCGGAAUUGGUUUCAUUUGCAUUUAAAAUUAUUCACAGAAAUCUCGGUAGGUUUUUUCCCCCCUGAAAUGGAGGAUCUAUGUUCUCUUGACUCUUCAGAAACCCAAUAAUCACCCUUUUGUCUGAACCAAGCAAUUUACCGUUGUAAUGAACAAAAGUGUAGGUCUAGUUUCAGAUGUGCCGUGGACAGUGAAUUUGGUGUUGUUCUGAAAGCCUCGUUCCCAACCUUCAACAAUGGAGUAAAACAAAGUAGAUCAAAGAUCUUGUGUAUCAAAGAUCUUGUGUAUCAAAGAUCUUGUGUAUCAAAGAUCUUGUCGCCUCCUAAUGUCGCGUGUCAGACUUUACUGCUACAGAGUUGGUUUGUUCUAAUAUAUUAUACCAGACCUUGACUGAAAACCUACAGGACGGUAGAUCUCCAGGAAGAGGGUUGGACUGUAAACCUACAGGACAGUAGAUCUCCAGGAAGAGGGUUGGACUGAAAACCUACAGGACAGUAGAUCUCCAGGAAGAGGGUUGGACUGUAAACCUACAGGACAGUAGAUCUCCAGGAAGAGGGUUGGUCUGAAAACCUACAGGACAGUAGAUCUCCAGGAAGAGGGUUGGACUGAAAACCUACAGGACAGUAGAUCUCCAGGAAGAGGGUUGGUCUGAAAACCUACAGGACAGUAGAUCUCCAGGAAGAGGGUUGGACUGAAAACCUACAGGACAGUAGAUCUCCAGGAAGAGGGUUGGACUGAUAACCUACAGGACGGUAGAUCUCCAGGAAGAGGGCUGGGCUGCCCUGUAUCUUAUCAUACCAGAUUCUGAGCCUCUCGUCUGGCUCUUUGAGAUUAGAUUAGUAGUCCCUCCACUCUUAUGAUUGUUGAUCUGUGAUGGAAAUAUGUUUUUAUUGCUUUACCUCAUUGCCAUGUUUUGCACCAGGACAGUUGGUGCAUUUCUCUAUGAUAUUAACCAGUGUAAAGACAACAACAGUACACUAACCCAGGGCCUAGAGUUCGAGGCAAAUGAAUAUCGUCGUUUCCCUUAGAUGAAGUAGGGACCAUAUAGCCCAACAUAACAUACUGUACCAAAAGUGAAAAGACGCAAUUCAUUCUUACACCAUAUUGAUUCAUUCGUACACCAUAUUGAUUCAUUCUUACAUACACCAUAUUGAUUCAUUUGUACACCAUAUUGAUUCAUUCACUCUUACACCAUAUUGAUUCAUUCACUCUUACACCAUAUUGAUUCAUUCACUCUUACACCAUAUUGAUUCAUUCAUUCUUACACCAUAUUGAUUCAUUCUUACAUACACCAUAUUGAUUCAUUCACUCUUACACCAUAUUGAUUCAUUCACUCUUACACCAUAUUGAUUCAUUCUUAC